CCUAGAAUUUUAAAAACUAUUUUCCGCUUUCCCCUCUUUCCUCGAUCGUUCCCUCAUCGUCUUCCUUCGAUUUACAUCAUCGCCGCUCCCGUCGCCCCUCUUUCUGCUCCGGUUAGGUUUCCGGCGAAGCUCUAGGAAUCGCCAUGAAGCUCUCCUUCAACGCCUCCAAGAAGCCCCCGAAGCCCGCCGCCAAGCCCCUCUCCGCCCCCUUCGGCUUCGCCGACGCCGGCGACGGCCGCGGGGAGGCGCCGUCCUCAUCGGCGCGGCGCGAGGAGAUCACCCAAUUCGAUCCCUCCGAUGUCUCGGCGGACGGCAGGAGCCGGCUGGUCAUCCCGCCGAAACCCAACGAGUGGCGCCCCUCCAAGAAGAUGAAGAACCUCGACCUGCCUUUCCGCCCCGAGGAGUCCGCCGCCGGCGAUCUCUCCCGGUUCCAGUCCCAGUCCAGGUCCCUCGAGGAGGAGGCCAACGCCGGCGCCGUGUCGUACGGCCUCACCGUCCGUCGGAGAGAGAACGGCGGCGAGAUGGAGUUGGAGGGUGAGGGUGAGGGUGAGGGUGAGGGUGAGGUCGAGGUCAAGCCCGAGGCGCCCGAGAGAUCGGGGAGGCUGGAUGAUUCCGGGCUGAAACUGAGGGAGGAGCUGGCGAAGUUGGGGGAUGAUCCGGGGUACGAGGACAUGCCCGUGGAGGAAUUUGCGGCGGCCUAUCUUAGGGGUUAUGGUUGGCAAGAGGGGAAAGGGGUGGGGAAGAACGCCAAGGAGGAUGUUCCGAUUAGGCAGAUUGAGAAGAGGGGCCGAGAGAGGUUUGGGCUGGGGUUUGAGCCCCAGAAGCCAGUGCCGGAAGUGGAGGCGAACGGGAGGGAUAGUCGGGGAGGCGAUGGGAGGUUUCGAGUGGGUAAAGAGAUGAGGAUUGUUGGGGGAAGUAGAGAGGACUUGUUUGGAUUGAAGGGGAAAAUUGUGGAAGUAGUUGGUGGCGAAUCGGUGAUUCUGAAUCUCUCAAGGAGAGAAGAGGAAGUCAAGGUCAGGAUCAAGGAUCUCGCUGAGUUGGGUUCUGCUGAGGAAGAAAAGUUUUUGAGGAAGAUGAAGGAGCUUCGUAUUAAGAAUGAUAGCUCUGGAAGUCGUAGAAAGAGUGGAGAUGAAGUGAAGAGAGAUGUUCGAAAUGGUGGAGAUAAGAGGGGUGACAGUGGUAAAGUUGGGUGGCUGAUGAGUCACAUUAGAGUUAGAGUGAUCAGCAAGAAUUUGAAAGGUGGGAGAUUGUAUCUGAAGAAGGGAAGGGUGGUUGAUGUCGUUGGACCGAAGAUUUGUGAUAUAUUGAUGGAUGAGAGCAAAGAACUUAUUCAAGGUGUAGAUCAAGAUUAUCUCGAGACUGCAUUACCCAAGCGUGGGGGUCCAGUUUUUGUUUUGUCUGGUCGUUAUAAGGGUGUCCAUGGGAGUCUAGUGGACAGGGAUUCUGACAGAGAGACUGGUGUAGUCCGCGAUGCUGACAGUCAGGAGUUGUUCAAUGUGCGGCUUGAUCAAAUUGCUGAGUACGUUGGAGAUCCAAGCUUAAUUGGAUAUUGAUUUGCUCCAUGCCACAACAGUGUGAAAAGGAUGACAUUGAAAGGACCAGAAGGAAAAAAAGAAAAAGAAAAAAGAACCUGCUCGCAAUGAUUCUAUUAUCUGGCUAACUACAACGGAAUGGAAGGAAAUUCAUUUACUUACUGGUGGACCCAAAAAAGGUCUCUCCAAAGUCAGAGGGUUCUCGCUAGUAUUUGCUCAUGGAGAGUUGGAUCUGUUGCUCUCCAGGGAUGGUUAUACGAUGCAAUUGAAUCACAGGGCCAUGGCAAACAUUUGCUGAACGCCUAAAAUGUUAUGAGGAGCAGCAGAUGACCACCCAAGAUUUGAUACAGAUACUUCCUAAAUAUUCAUCGAACCAUCUGUGUUUAGAUCUUGACAUCCACAAUUCUCCGUAGUUCACUUGUGUGCGUAGCUCCGUGAUGGAACAUCCCAUCAAAAGUUGGAUGUUCAGCGGAUUUUGAUCAGCACAACUGACAUCCAGGUUGCCAUAAAAUGAGAAGACUGCAGGCUGCUAUGUAACUAGUCCAGAUUACUUCCAGGUGAUGGAAGUGAGGAGCUUCUUGCCUCCCUUGUUUCUGUCUCUUUUCCAGUAUCCUUUAUUGGAGGAGAAAAAGAGGUUUGCUGGAUAUGUUUGCUGUAUUUUCCUCCACUGUGCAGACACAAUAUCUGCUUCUGUGAGCAUCGCGGCACGGUUUGAUCCAGCGUUCGUUCUGGACAUGCAUUGAGUUUGUCCAUGCAUGUCCAGAGCGAACAUCCUGUACAUCGCGCUUGUUUUCCGGACCUAGCUGCGACUCUGGUUUGAUGACUUGGAGGUUGUAUUUUCCCCGUUGUUUCCAACUAGUGCUGCUUCCCGGCUUCCCGGUAGUCAUGUAUUGCCUUUAGCUCUGCUCAACCCCUUGUUAGAAGGGGCGAGUGGAUUUAAUUUGAUACCUUGAAAGGUUUCAUAUUUAAGAGACCGAGCAGCGACUCUGCCAUAUCUCGGAUGCGACGAACGGCGACGUUCCCAAAUGGUCUCCCCCUUUGUAGUGGUUUUGUUAAGGUAGGGGCGGGCCGGCAAGAGUUCUGAUUAGAAAUGAUGCUUGAAUUAGAGCAGCUCAUUGUCCAACCGCCAGUCACGGCCCCUCCCCCUUUGAUAAAAGUCUUAAUCUAAAAGGUACUGACAUCGUCACGUGACACGAGAUAAGAUAUGUUGAUAGAGAAUUUGGAUA